UAGUUUGUAACUGAAGAGACCUAGCGUGACAAUACGAUAUCAACUACUUUUUGAUACUACGGUACAAUAAUGAAAAGAACAAUACUUUAUACUCUCGGGUGUGUUGUCUGUUACUGUUUCCUGUGUCUAAUUAGACAAACGUCAGGCCAAAACACUGCUAAUUCAGAUCUCAAUUACAUUCUGUGUGAAAGUAAAAGAAGUCCAAUUCUUGCAUGUUCUACAACACAAAUAAUCACCAUUAUAGAUGCCAUUUAUGGUAGAACAGAUUCCAGUGUGUGUCCUCACCCUAGUGUUAAGUCUAGCGUGUCCUACUCGUGUAGAAGGACAGCUACCAGCCGUGUAGCGAGUAAAUGUAAUUCUUUCCGAACAUGCUUACCACAGUCUUCAAAUACAUACGGCGAUCCUUGCCCUGGAACAUACAAAUAUCUAAAUGUGACGUACAGGUGUAUCGAAGGUAUGACAACAAACCAUAUCAAUCAAUCAACAUCUAGUCCAAUGAAAAGUGGUAGCAACAAAAGCGUAGUUGGUAUAGUAGCAGGCAUUGUAGCAGGUGUUGGUUUCAUUGCUUUGAUAAUUGUAAUCUUCAUACUUAAACGUUUCUCUCUGUCCUGUUUUGCAAGGAAUGUCCCUGAUGAAAACAAAAAUGAUGAACAAGAUUAUACAGGGAAUCAAAAUGUUGCUUACAUCAACUCAAACGCUCAUUCUGCUAUUCAAGGAGAUAAUAAUUACUAUGCCACACUUGGAAAUGAAACAGAUGGUCAUAACUAUAGAGAAUUGGAAAGUUCUCCACAAAGUGAAAUCGAAUACCAUACUAACGAACCACAUUCUUAUAUGACCGUAUAUGAUUCUUUUGACCAGAAUAGACAAUCGGCAUUGACUAAUGCCACAUAUGAGGAAGUUCAACAAAAAGAGAAUGGUUCACCAAAAAUUCUGGGAAAAACCGGAGAGAAACAUUAUGAUUAUGCGGAAUUUGCAACAAACAUAACAACACAAGAUGAUAUUUAAUCAAAAUAAUCUAGUCAGCCAAACGAAUACCUCAUGCUUGAUCCAAAAGAAACAAUAUUUUUCUACAUCAGUGCCUUCAACAGAAAAGAAAGAAUUUUCAACUGAAUUUUCAAGUCCAACACCACUAUCAGGUAUGACAACAAAACAUAUCAAUCAAUCCAGAUCUAGUCAAAUGAAGAUUGGCAGCAACAAAAGCAUAGCAGCCUUUUUCAGGUAUAGUAGCAGGCAUUGUAGCAGGUGUUGGUUUCUUUACUUUGAUAAUUGCAAUCUUCAUAUUUAAACGUUUCUCUAUGUCCUGUCCUGGAAGAAAGGUCCCUUAUGAAAUAAAACAUGAUGAACAAGAUUAUACAGGAAAUCAAAAUGUUGCUUACAUCGACUCAAACGCUUUUGAUAUUGAAGGAAAUGGUAAUUACUAUACCACACUUGGAAAUGAAUCAGAUGAUCAUAACUACAUAGAAUUGGGAAAUUCUCCACAAAGUGAAAACGAAAACCAUACUAUCGAACCAGAUUCUUAUUUGACCGUGUGUAAUUCUUUUGACCAGAAUAGACAAUCGUCAUCAACUGAUGCCACAUAUGAGGAAGUCAAAAACAGAAAGGUUUAACAGAAAUUCUAGGAAAAACCGGAAAGAAACAUAAUGAUUAUGCGGAAUUUGCUACAAGCAUAACAACACAAGAUGAUACUAAUUCAAAGAAUCUAGUCAGUCAAACGAAUACCUUAUACUUGAUCAAAAAGAAACAAGGUACGAUAAAAGAUCAAAUUAUACAUGCCAAAGUUCUGGACAAGAAUUAGACUCUAGUCAGACGAAGGGAACAGACUUUGACAAAAGCAACAAUAAAAACUUUGAUGCUUUCUGAGAGUACAAGCUUACAAAAAAACAUGUAAUAUAAGCCAAUAAUAUUAGUUGAGUACAUUUUGUAAUUGAUCAUUAAUAUAAAGUGAAGUUACUUGUGAUCCUUCCUAGGUUGAUUCUAAUCAUGUUUCGUGUAAAUUAAAGGUUCUGUUCACUGACCUUAUUUAUUUGAAAUACAGUUGUUCAUCUGUGUAAUCUAUAUAAAUCAUUACACUUUACUUUUUAAGUCAGAUACAGAUGAUUUAUUUU